rnacentral:rRNA from 1 species
CACGACGUUGUAAAACGACGGCUGUAACUAUAACGGUCUUAAGGUAGCAAAUUUCCUGGUCGUCCUAAUAACGACCUGCAUGAAACAUAGAACGAUUCGAUAGCUGUCUUGCACACACAUCAUGGUAAAAUAUUCAUCAGUACAAAUAAUAUGCUGCCGAAGUCGAGUGACACUAAAGGACAAAAAGACCCUCUGAAGCUUUAUAGGGAUAAAACUUGGGUAACAUCGCGAUCUAAAUUAUCUUAUAAAUGCUACCUUACAUAGAAUCGGGAGUACGGCAGACGUUAUUCUCCCAGCUAAAGUGGUGGAGAUCGCAGUUAUUUUAUCAACAAAGGGAUCACGAUAUAAAUGGUAGACGUUAUUCUAUAGACCACUGUUUAAUUGGGGCGAUAACCUUAUCCACAGCCACCUAAGGUGAACAAAGCGAUACAAGGAUCCUAAAUACUAAUUUGACCAACUAAUAAGUGCAAAGAUACAUGUUUCGCUUAAUGGCCCAACAAGUCCUUCCCAGUACUUAAAUGCUAUCUUAAUGAGCUUUAAAUUAAUCUACCCGAGUGAAGCUACUCUACGGAUAACAGGCUUAAUUUCCGCAAUACCCAAGGUCACAUUAUCAAGAAAAAUGCACAUCGAUGUCGGCUUAUCAUCCCAAAAUAGGUAGCUAAAUAAUUGGUGGGAGUGCUCAUCCCGUAAA